ACUUUGGCUUAACACUAUGUUUGAUAAUCUAUGCAGCUUCGGGAGAUUGCUCGAAACCAAGAUAAACAUUUGCAGGACAAUUUCAAACUUAUCGAUACAACAAACAUGUGGGCGAGUUUAAGAGCUAUCAAGAGAUAUGCCGACACUGAUGAAUCAAAGCACAAGAGGCACUCAGAUUUGAAGGUAUCACUCCCUUGCUGUCAUUAGUUCAUUACUCUACUGAUA